AAUGAACGCUGGCGGCAUGCCUAACACAUGCAAGUCGAACGAAGCCUUCGGGCUUAGUGGCGCACGGGUGCGUAACGCGUGGGAAUCUGCCCUUGGGUUCGGAAUAACAGUGGGAAACUACUGCUAAUACCGAAUGAUGUCGUAAGACCAAAGAUUUAUCGCCCAGGAGUGAGCCCGCGUAGGAUUAGCUAGUUGGUGUGGUAAAGGCGCACCAAGGCGACGAUCCUUAGCUGGUCUGAGAGGAUGAUCAGCCACACUGGGAC
rnacentral:rRNA from 1 species